AGGGAGAAGACAGUCAUUUAUGAACUAAGAAGUGGACCCUCAUCAGCUACACCCUAUGAUCAGAAUGACUGCCAAUAAUGUCAUCUCUAAAAACACCGAACCUCAGAAAGCUCCAGGGUAUGGACCACCCCCUGCCACA